CCUCCUUAAAAGAAGUGUGAAUCUUUCGUUUUAAGCGCCCACACAAUCUACUUAAUCAGUUCACCGACCGCGGGUCUGUAGCUCAGUUGGUUAGAGCGCACCCCUGAUAAGGGUGAGGUCGGAAGUUCAACUCUUCCCAGACCCACCAGGUUGCCUCCAAACCAGAGGCUUACCAAUCGGGGCCAUAGCUCAGCUGGGAGAGCACCUGCUUUGCAAGCAGGGGGUCGGCGGUUCGAUCCCGCCUGGCUCCACCAGGUGAUAAACGAUAGUGAUUUAGGCCACUAUCGUUUAUUUCUCGACGAAGUCGGGUCAGCGGACGCUCUUUAACAAUUUAGUAGUAGUGAUAUACGACGGUGAAGUCGAGCCUGUUUCAGGCGAGGCUUUACUGGGUAUACCAGCAUUUAUCAGUAGAUGUAUUCGAUAA
rnacentral:tRNA from 1 species